GUUUUAGAUCAGGCAUCUGCGCCCUCCCGGGCUCCUCGCCCCCACCCCCAGAGUCAAAUGUGAGCCUCUUCUGGAAAUCCUUUGCGAAGGGGACAAACUUUUGAGUGGACGAAAAUCUAUUGGAGCCUGUCCGGAGCAGUGCUCUCUAUCCCACAGCCAAGAUGAGUUGCUGCACAAGUGUAGGCCAAAGCCUGAGGACCACAGCGCUCUGUCUUGACCCUGCUGCCAAAGGGGAUCAGCAGACCGGGCCACCCUGCUCUGGACUCUGGGUGCUUCACCUCCGUGACCCUGCUUCUUAGUUUAAUCAUCUGUCAGAUGAGCCCUUUGCACUGCAAGAUUGCUUAGCAGGUUUGGCCUCCUGAACAGGUACGGGGAGAAGGAAGAAGAUGGGGCCUGUUCCACCAGAAAGGUGGACCAAUCCAGGUGACUGUGGAAAGGAUGUGGACUAUACACCCGUACUAACUUCCUUACUCCCUGUGACCCUGCAAAAAAGAAGAGAACCCCACGCACUUCGAAGGAGCCAGGACCCCAACAGACUUAAAGACCAUGAGUGAAGCUGGGUGGCAAAAACUCCAUUCCUCCUUUGAGCUCCUUGCUGUUCUCAGUUUUGUACGGUUUGUCCUCACCCCUUCCCCAAAUCUGGAGAAGGGAAAAUGAAUGUUUAACCCCCCGCUCUGCUCAUCUUUCCCUGUGCCCCUUCCUGUCAACCUCAAAGCCGCCGGGAGGAAGGACCUGCAGCUUUCAGCUCUGCUGAUAAUCAAAGAAAAUUCAAAUUCUCUUUCUCAGCAGAAGGGCGGCUGCCUCCUUCUCCAUUCUCCCUGCACACAUUGAUCUGUUGUGAGGGCACCUGGGGGUCAGAAGAGAGACCAGGCCGUUUUAAUUGGUCUAGAAUUAGCAUUUCCUAUCACACCAAAGGCCAGGGUUUCCACAUCCAGGAACAAGAGGUCUUCACCUCUUCUCAGACCCCUCAAACCAGCCAUGAUUUCCACAUUUGUUGAGGCGGAGCCCUGGGAAGGAAAAUGAAUGAGCAUUUUGACCCAUUUUGCAACCAGUAGCUGCAGCUCUCUGCUCUGUUAAUGCUUUCUCUAGUACUCAUCGCGGGCAAAGCAUGGCCUUUACUUCAGAGUGCCAUGAGAACUGGAAGAUUUUUUUGCCACCCUGAGACCUCGGUGUGUUGUGGAUACAUAAGCAAAUAAACAGAUGGGGAAAAAAAUAAAGACGAA